CCUGGCCACCGAACUUGGGCUAAUUCUUCUCUUGAUGGACUGCAAACUUGGACGGCCCAACUCCCUCUUGACCCAAACGUUCGAUCUGCUCCAUAUAGAAGGAGGAGUCGUUGAAGAGAUUGCUGAGGGCCCGAUGUGUUUUUUUAAAAGACUCACAUGAAAGACUGGAUGUAGACGUGAUGAUUCAGGGCCAAAGAAGUCUGUCUAUAUGGUUGCAACUUCAGGUCCUGGCCACCGAACUUGGGCUAAUUCUUCUCUUGAUGGAUGCAAACUUGGACGGCCCAACUCCCUCUUGACCCAAG